CCUCUCUAUGCCGGCGGGCACGUGCUUGCUGAGUGGUUACUUUGCUUUCCAGAGAAAUCGCGAUAGUAAAUUUCUGAGACGCGCUCAGAUUCAAUAUAGCUCGCUCGACGUGCGAGGAUUUUUAACAUCUACUGAUUUAAAAUUGAAAAUUCAUUGCCUGCAAUUAUUAUUAUUAAAAUGAUGUUCUGAUAUUAAUUCCUUAUUAUAGAGUAGUAAUGAACAAUUUAAAAAAGUUUUGUAUAAUUUUCUCGGAGAAACUUUGUUGAAGGUUUGAUGUAAAUUUCAAAACUUUGUGAAAUUAGAAUUUAGGCUUUAUUUGCAAAAUAAAAAGUGAAGUUGUUGGGAACUGUGGAUUUGGACGUAGGACUACUUGCCUAACGAGAGGGAUACCUUCGUGAAGGAAUUUGUAAAUAAACUGGCUCAUAUUUAUAUUAAACCACGAAAGCUUCCACGCAGCCAGUCCAUUCGAAAGGACUCGAAUCCCCAUCGAACCACCAAUGCUCAAACGCUGAAUGACACACUGCACCUUCUGCUGUAAGGAGAAUCAAUAAUGAUAUUUAAUAAUAAAAGGAAAUACAUAACAUAA